GAUGGAUCAUUUCGAUGAAAACCUUUUUUUUGAGGUGUGGCUCGCACCUGUCUAACUAAACUUGAGCUACCUUUUUAACACGGUUGCAUCGGUUGGGCCUGUCAAACAGUGCAAUUACGCGCUGGGAGACGGUCUCGACACUUUUAACCAAACACUUUUGAUGAUCUAGGAUUUGAAUGAAGUUCAUUUUUACGAUGGAACCGACUGGUAAUGCGGUCGACUAAAUCUAAAAAACAACUUUUGGCAACGGAUCUCUUGGUUCUCCCAUCGAUGAAGAACGCAGCGAAUUGCGAUAAGUAAUGUGAAUUGCAGAAGUGAAUCAUCGAAUCUUUGAACGCACCUUGCGCUCCCUGCAGAUCUAAUCUGGGGAGCAUGCCUGUUUGAGGGCCGCGAAUUGUUUCGAACGACACCUUUUUUUUUUUAACGAAGAGGGUGACGGAUCGGUAUUGAGGAUUUUUGCCAUUCACCGUGGCUUCCUCGAAAAGCAUUAGCGCAUCCAUUCAAUAGGCAAGACGGACGAAAGCUCGAAUUUCGCCCUGUUCUUCCCUGCCGGGUUUUGAUAAUAUCAGGACUUCGGAGGCGGAGAGAGGGUUCAAGCUGGACGCAACGUUUUGCUGGUUGGAGUGCUUCUAACCCCGCCCAUGACUGGUCCUUCGGGAACAGGAAGGGAUUUUUUUCAAUCAUCGGCCUCAAAUUGGUAGGACUACCCGCUGAACUUAAGCUAU
rnacentral:misc_RNA from 1 species